rnacentral:rRNA from 1 species
GAGUAGUCAUAUGCUUGUCUCAAAGAUUAAGCCAUGCAGGUCUAAGUAUAAGCCGAAAUAAAGUGAAACCGCGAAUGGCUCAUUACAUCAGUUAUGGUUCCUUAGAUCUCCGGUAUCCUACUUGGAUAACCCUGGAAAUUCUAGAGCUAAUACAUGCAAAUGUAGCCUCAACCCUCGUGGGAGAGGCGUUUUUGUUAGACUAAAACCAAUCGGGGAGCAAUCCCUGUUCAUUUGGUGAGUCUGAACAGCUUUGAGCGGAUCGCACGGUCUUGUACCGGCGACAACUCUUUCAAAUGUCUGCCUUAUCAACUUGAUGGUAGGUUAUGUGCCUACCAUGGUGAUAACGGGUAACGGAGAAUCAGGGUUCGAUACCGGAGAGGGAGCCUGAGAAACGGCUACCACAUCCAAGGAAGGCAGCAGGCACGCAAAUUACCCACUCCCGGCACGGGGAGGUAGUGACGAAAAAUAACAAUACGGGACUCAUCCGAGGCCCCGUAAUUGGAAUGAGUACACUUUAAAUCCUUUAACGAGGAUCCAUUGGAGGGCAAGUCUGGUGCCAGCAGCCAAU